AUUCACUAAACCAAUUCAAUUUCCUCCAUUUCCAAAAUAUCUUAUGCCAUUUCAUGAUGUUUACCAACAACCGCAUAAGACGUUCGUAGACAUUAUUGGCAUAGUUGUUCAUUUGGAGCCAUUAAAGUAUAUCGGUGGAAGGCCAUACAGAGAGGCUGUACUAAUGGAUUCCAGGUGGAAUCUAAUUGUCAUGGGGGUAUGGACUGAUCUCCUGCAGAGAAAUGCUCUACGAUGGGCAUUAGCUAAAGUUGACAAGAAUAUAAUUAUUGCAACAAUGAUGCGUCGUAACAAUAAAUACAGUAAUUUCUCCUAUACCUAGCAUCUUUCAACAUAUAUUCAAUUUUCAUGUUUAUUAUUAAUUCUAUACUAUAAAUAACAAUAGGAUG